CUACAUGGAUACCUGUGGUAAUUCUAGAGCUAAUACAUGCUAAAAACCCCGACUUCAGGAAGGGGUGUAUUUAUUAGAUAAAAAACCAACGCCCUUCGGGGCUCCUUGGUGAAUCAUAAUAACUUAACGAAUCGCAUGGCCUUGCGCCGGCGAUGGUUCAUUCAAAUUUCUGCCCUAUCAACUUUCGAUGGUAGGAUAGUGGCCUACCAUGGUGGCAACGGGUAACGGGGAAUUAGGGUUCGAUUCCGGAGAGGGAGCCUGAGAAACGGCUACCACAUCCAAGGAAGGCAGCAGGCGCGCAAAUUACCCAAUCCCGAUACGGGGAGGUAGUGACAAUAAAUACUGAUACGGGGCUCUUUUGGGUCUCGUAAUUGGAAUGAGAACAAUUUAAAUCCCUUAACGAGGAACAAUUGGAGGGCAAGUCUGGUGCCAGCAGCCGCGGUAAUUCCAGCUCCAAUAGCGUAUAUUAAAGUUGUUGCAGUUAAAAAGCUCGUAGUUGAACCUUGGGUCUGGCUGGCCGGUCCGCCUCACCGCGAGUACUGGUCCGGCUGGACCUUUCCUUCUGGGGAACCCCAUGGCCUUCACUGGCUGUGGGGGGAACCAGGACUUUUACUGUGAAAAAAUUAGAGUGUUCAAAGCAGCCUUUGCUCGAAUACAUUAGCAUGGAAUAAUAGAAUAGGACGUGCGGUUCUAUUUUGUUGGUUUCUAGGACCGCCGUAAUGAUUAAUAGGGAUAGUCGGGGGCGUCA
rnacentral:rRNA from 1 species